AAGAUGGAUAGAAAAGAAUGCAAGAAGAAGGAUGCAAUGAAGAAUCACUGAGCAGUCCUCUUGUUGUUCUAACUGAGGAGAAGUGGCAGAAUGAGGGCAAAUGAUAGUGUAUAACAGCUUCCAGCAGGUGUCCCCCCUUAAGAUCCCAGAGAGAAGGACAUCCUGUCCGUGUCAUCAGUUAACAUAUAGACUCAAAUUCUCCUAGACUUUCACCACGUAUUUAAUGUCCCAUCAUCAGCCGCCAAAUCCUGACCACCGAUCCAAAGAGAAAAAGAAUCAACAGAAACGGGGACCCAGAAACUUGACAUCAUUGGCGUUACUGACAGCAACAUGAUUUAGAAAGACCUUUACCCAGAAUUCUCUGUGUGUAAGGAUAAAAGAGAUUGAUUGUGCAAUACAGUUUUUACUGAGCGUGAUGCAGGACAAGCAGAAGAAAUACAAGAAACACGUGGACCAGUUUCAGCGGAUCUCGGAGACGCUCUCCAUUCUUAACUCAUUUAGUUUUCAAACGAAGUUUACCAUUUCUAUUUAAAGUUGUACAAUUGUGAUGAGGAAAGAAAAAUAUGUUCUUUUAAAUCUCUUACACCUAAAUAUAUAAGACAUAUAAGCAAAUAUAUUUUGAAUGUUUCAUUCAGUCAGAAAGUUCAAAGUUAUUCUUGAACUUUUAUGAUAUCUAAUUUUAAGCUUCCUUUGGAAUAUUUAUAUUUGAGAAAUUGGAUAAUGAUUAAGUGUAACAAUCUGUCAGAGUAAUUAAUAUUUAGGAAAUUAACUUUUUAGCUCACCUGAGCCGAAGGCUCAAGUGAGCUUUUCUGAUCACAUUUUGUCCGUCGUCCGUCCGUCUGACCGUCUGUCUGUCCGUCCGUCUGUAAACUUUUCACAUUUUUGACUUCUUCUCAAAAACCAUUGGGCCAAUUUUGACCAAACUUGGUACAAAGCAUCCUUGGGUGAAGGGGAAUUUAAAUUGUUAAAAUGAAGGGCCAAUUCCCCUCACAAGGGGAGAUAAUCAAGAAAAGACAAAAAUAGGGUGGGGUCAUUAAAAAAUCUUCUCAAGAACCAA